rnacentral:rRNA from 1 species
GAUGAACGCUGGCGGCGUGCCUAAUACAUGCAAGUCGAGCGAACGGACGAGAAGCUUGCUUCUCUGAUGUUAGCGGCGGACGGGUGAGUAACACGUGGAUAACCUACCUAUAAGACUGGGAUAACUUCGGGAAACCGGAGCUAAUACCGGAUAAUAUUUUGAACCGCAUGGUUCAAAAGUGAAAGACGGUCUUGCUGUCACUUAUAGAUGGAUCCGCGCUGCAUUAGCUAGUUGGUAAGGUAACGGCUUACCAAGGCAACGAUGCAUAGCCGACCUGAGAGGGUGGGUGGACAGACGGGAGGUGAGGUACGGAGGGGGCUACUGCGGGAGGGAGCAGUAGGGAAUGUGCCGAGAUGGGCGAGAGCCGGAAAAAAUCAGGUGACGAGAGAGAUAAAAGUGUUCGGAUAGGGAGAAUGUGUGAGUAGGGAAGAAAAGAGGUGUAAGUGACUGUUCAGACCUUGAAGGUACGGAAUCAGAAAGAAAAGGAUAACUAAGUG